AAAGAGGAAACUGGGGAUUGAUGACUAGCAAUAGUACUUGGUCUUAUUAUUCUUAUAUAUUCUUAUUUUAUUAUGCAUCCAAGAUAAUCUAUUGGGGUUUAAGUUCUUGAAAUUCACUAUCAGUAAUCCCAACAGUUUCAUCCUCAGUUUCCUUGAUCAUCAUCUCAAGGAGUAUAUCAGUACCAAUAUCAGCAUACUCAGUUGGCAUUUUGUCCCAAUCUAGGGUUGGCUCCCAAUCAACCUUUUUUAUUACAUCUUUGAUUUUAUCAAACAAAAUCUUACUU
rnacentral:lncRNA from 1 species